GCUGGAAUAGCUCAGUUGGUUAGAACGUGUGGCUGUUAACCACAAGGUCGGAGGUGCGACCCCUCCUUCUAGCG
rnacentral:tRNA from 2 species